GUAACAGGAAACAGCUUGCUGUUUCGCUGACGAGUGGCGGACGGGUGAGUAAUGUCUGGGAAACUGCCUGAUGGAGGGGGAUAACUACUGGAAACGGUAGCUAAUACCGCAUAACGUCGCAAGACCAAAGAGGGGGACCCUCGGGCCUCUUGCCAUCGGAUGUGCCCAGAUGGGAUUAGCUUGUUGGUGGGGUAACGGCUCACCAAGGCGACGAUCCCUAGCUGGUCUGAGAGGAUGACCAGCCACACUGGAACUGAGACACGGUCCAGACUCCUACGGGAGGCAGCAGUGGGGAAUAUUGCACAAUGGGCGCAAGCCUGAUGCAGCCAUGCCGCGUGUAUGAAGAAGGCCUUCGGGUUGUAAAGUACUUUCAGCGGGGAGGAAGGGAGUAAAGUUAAUACCUUUGCUCAUUGACGUUACCCGCAGAAGAAGCACCGGCUAACUCCGUGCCAGCAGCCGCGGUAAUACGGAGGGUGCAAGCGUUAAUCGGAAUUACUGGGCGUAAAGCGCACGCAGGCGGUUUGUUAAGUCAGAUGUGAAAUCCCCGGGCUCAACCUGGGAACUGCAUCUGAUACUGGCAAGCUUGAGUCUCGU
rnacentral:rRNA from 1 species